GUCUAUGGUCAUACUGCCUUGAACACACCUAAUCUUGGAAGCUAAGCAGGAUUGGGACUGAUUACUACUUGGAUGGGAGACAAGGUCUUCAGGGUGGAAGUGGCUUUCCUUCUGCACUUAGGUCUCUGAGUCU
rnacentral:rRNA from 1 species